rnacentral:rRNA from 1 species
AGUCACUGACAUUAGAUACCCGCGUAGUCCAGGGUGUAAACGCUGCAGACUUGGUGUUGGAAAUCCUUCGAGGGUAUUCAGUGCCGGAGAGAAGUUGUUAAGUCUGCUACUUGGGAAGUACGGUCGCAAGGCUGAAACUUAAAGGAAUUGGCGGGGAGCACCACAACGGGUGGAGCCUGCGGUUUAAUUGGACUCAACGCCGGAAAUCUCACCGGAUAGGACAGACAUAUGAUAGUCGGGCUGAAGACUCUACUUGAUGAUCUG